CGCCGUACAUAUUGUCUUCCAUCUGAAGA
rnacentral:sRNA from 1 species